UUGAGCCCAGCAGAUGAGAUGUGGGCAAAGUUCAGAGCAGGAAGAGUCCCAAAGAGGUUUAACUUGACAUUAACACAUGGCAAGAGUGGUGUCAACAUUUUUCUUAGUUCAGUGUAUUUGAAUGUCUGAAGGGGCACCUUUAUUUUAAAAGCCCCAUGAGCCUUCUGACAUCCAAAUAUGUGAACAUUCAAAUGGGGGAGGGGAGCUGAAGGUUAUGAAGGGAGGGUCUUCAACUUUUUUCUUUCCUAUGCCUUGCAGUGUGUGCCUGGAAAGCCUGCGGAUACGAUGGCUGACUGGACUCUGGGUUGUUGCAGUGCUUGGAGGGGGAAAGAGGACUGUGUGGAUGCAGCCGAAGAAAGAAGCAAGAAUCUGCAUGGGAAUGGAAAAAAGAAACAUACAAGUGAACAAUAUGGGGGGCAGCGCUACCAUUAGAUAGAGAGGCAAGGAGCAGUGCAUAGGGCAAGCUACUAUACCCAAACUACUACUUUGGGUUGCCAUGAAGAAUGCUGAUCAAUGAUCAGUGUUGAGUUGUGAAAACUGGACAGAAAAGAAAGCUGAUGGGAAGAAAAUCAACUCAUUUGAAAUGUGGUGCUGGAGAAGAGUUUUAAAGAAUCUGUGGACUACAAAAAGGAUAAAUACAUGGGUCCUAGAGCAAAUCAAACCUAGAAGCCAACAUGACUAAAUUGAGACUGUUGUACUUUAGCAUUUAAAGUAUUUAGUACAUAUUAAAUAUUUAGCACUUGGCAUUUAGCAUUUUACGUAUCAUAAGAUGACAUGAGUCAUUAGAGAAGGCUAUAAUGCUUGGUAAGGUUUGAUUGGCAGAAAACGAGGAAGACUGUAUUAGAGAUGGAAUGAUUCAACCAUAGAAGCCGCAGCCCAGAGUUUUCAAGACCUGAGCAAAACAGUCGGUGACCAUGGAUCUUGGACAUAUCUCAUUGACAGGGUCGCCAUAAGCUGAAGUUGACAUAGCAGCAAAUAGCAUAACAACAGGAUCACAAUUGCACAACUGCAAAAUGUGCUACUACUACUUGGAAUGU